GGUUGAUAUCAUUGACUGGCAUAUAAACGUGUAAAGUCAUAUGGUAACAGUAUCAUACAUGGCUCUUCCAUCUGAAGAUGUACCAUCGACUAAAGACCAAAAGGAAAGAAAACGUAAUGGAGUUAACGCGUUGACUAACACAUUUUCGGUAAAUGGACGAAAACAGAGAAAAAUGCAGACCGGAAAGGAAAAGAACAGCAAGUAUUUGCAAAUAUACAACCAAUGGAUAACACAGAAGGAUCGUCAUCUUAUAAGAAGAAAACAAAUCAGGGAAAUGAAAAGGCAGAAACAAGAAAUACAGAAAAACAGAAAAGAAGAUAGUAUUGGAUUCAUGCAUACUGGUCGUAUAAAUGAAAUUUACGAUCCCUGCAUCGUUCCUUACAACAGAAAAUUUUCACGACGUGUUAUUUUCAUUGAUAGAAAUAAAUCCAUCGAAAAGCAAAACGAUUAUGAAAAUGGACAAUCAUUUUGUCGCGCUUUUUCAAAAUUAAGAAAUAGUUCCCAAAACGAAUAUCCAAUUAACUUAAACAUCCCGGAAGCACGUGGUUAUACAUAUGAUACCCAUAGUAUUGAUGAUCCGAUGGUUUGUGAUUUGAAUUUACGGUGUAAUAGAUUUGGAAGCACUUUAGUAUGGACCUUGGCUGACCCCCGAAUCACAAUUGAUUUAAAUCUAAGGAACAAUAGGCCGAUCGAAUCGCUGACUUUUUCAGAAUCGAUUUUAUCAUAUGAAAUUCCUACUUUUGGGCAUACAAGAGUAAUACCUUCAAUAACACUUGGACAAACCAAUCAGAUAUCAGCCUAUACGCUUGGACAAACUCGACCACUUUGAGUACGUUGAUGUAGUUCAGGCGAAAACAGUAUGGAUUUUUGAAUUUAAAUGAACUUUGUUUAGUGUACGAAUAGUCAAAAAACGCUUUUGAAAUUAUUGAUAGCCCUUCUUGAAUUAUUAGAACUAAUAAUAAAAAUGUCAAUUGUAGAAUCUAACGCAAAUUCCCGUUUAAAUUAAUUAUAUCUGUAUGAUGAUUAGAUACACUUAUCUUCAUCAUGCUUACGAGUUAUGAUAUUUACAAUGAUCCUCCUUGAAAAGAAAUUGUAUUUUUAACUCAGCAUUUGUUUGUAAUUAGCUGGAAAUGCCUUACAUGGUGUUGUUUAGACUAGGCAAUAAAAAGAUACCAACAAUAAAGAUAUUAUCAAUGA